CAAUUCUGCAAAGUGCCUGUGUGAACUAUCUCGGCUUGCAUCUCAACCGCAGAUUAACAUGAAAAAACCACAUUAAAGCAAAAAGUCAACAACUUAGACUUAAAACACUAAAAUUGUCCUGGUUGAUAAGUCGAAAAUCAGAAACCACUUUGGAAAACAAAAUUCGCCUCUACAAAUCCAUACUGAAACUGAAAUAAUUAUUUUUUUUUCUCUCUCUCUUUAUAUUUACAAUCUCUUUUUUUCUUCUAGACGUUGAUAUGCAAUGACUGCACCAUCAAGUGGCUAUGCGACACCAAGCCAAAGCCUGUUACGCGAGGCCCUUCUCCCGCCCAAAAAAACAAUGAAUGCAAAAUGGAUCCAUGCAGGAGAUUGCUUUUAGUGGGAUUGGCGGCUCUUGCAUGAUCGGAGGAGGAGGACAAUCAACAAAAUAAGCGCCGACAGCUUUGAUAAAACCCAUAUCUGCAGGAAAGAAACCAGAACGGUCGUUUGUCUAUACAUUUGAGUAUUAUAACUCAUAUAAAUAUGUGUACAUUAAUGGAAACCCAUGAAAGGAUACCCUUUUGCAUAUUCCGCAGUUUGAAAAUAUGACAGAGAAUUUGCAUAUGGCUGGGAAUAACAUCUGCANCGACACCAAGCCAAAGCCUGUUACGCGAGGAACCCAUCAGAACGCAGCCCUCCUCCCGCCCAAAAAAACAAUGAAUGCAAAAUGGAUCCAUGCAGGAGAUUGCUUUUAGUGGGAUUGGCGGCUCUUGCAUGAUCGGAGGAGGAGGACAAUCAACGAAAUAAGCGCCGACAGCUUUGAUAAAACCCAUAUCUGCAGGAAAGAAACCAGAACGGUCGUUUGUCUAUACAUUUGAGUAUUAUAACUCAUAUAAAUAUGUGUACAUUAAUGGAAACCCAUGAAAGGAUACCCUUUUGCAUAUUCCGCAGUUUGAAAAUAUGACAGAAAAUUUGCAUAUGGCUGGGAAUAACAUCUGCAGACUUCUUUAAUUGGUGGAGCAGCAAUGCCGUGACAAGGAAUAUUUGCGCCCGUUGCAAAGUUGUAAAACGGCGCCUCCAAGCACCCUUCCUAUUCAACAUUGGCUAGUUUCGAGCCCAGAUUGUCGCCAUCGCCCCUUGGCACGACCCUGUGGAGCAGUACUUGGUCCAAACAGGAAAACAACUU
rnacentral:lncRNA from 1 species